rnacentral:misc_RNA from 1 species
GUCGACACCAUCUUCCGUAGAAAAAUUACAGUUUCAACAAGAACAAGAAAACAGGAUAAAAGAAAAGAAAAGAAAACGAGAACAACACUAGAACAUGUGGACAGACUACUGCCACAAAAUGAUCUCAACAGACAAUUAGCAUAUUUCAGCCAUGACAAAUUAAUAAGCCAACUAGCCAAUGCUCUACCGCUUUGGCAGAAUUUUCAGGCCUAAAGAGAGGGGUUUAUAGCAAAUUUU